CUCUCUCUCUCUCUCUCUCUCUCUCAUUUCAGCAACAGAAAAGAAAUUAGAACACCAUCUAUCUACCUAACCCAGUUGGUGGCAGGAGAACUAUACCUGGCCCCAGGCUCCUAAAGAGAGAGCUCAGGUAAGCUGCUGCACAGAGUCCAGAAGAGGGUGACAGUGAGUGACUGGCAGGACCAAAAGCACUAUAGCUAUGGUCAGGAGGACCCCUGGAGGUGACAAGUGGAGGAGCCCUGGGAUGGAGCAGGGGAGGACAGUUAGGGUCAAGGAAGUGAUAGGGCACGAAGAGCCAGGAGGUGGACGGGGCCAAGUGGGUCUCAUGUGGCCCCAGGAUCCAGGCACAUCUUGACUCUGCCUGCCACAAGGGACCCAUACUCUUCAGAGCUUCUGACCUGUAGGAUCUAUCCAUCUGAGUGGCUUGAAGUCAUGCCUUUCUCCAUGGUAACCUUCACCUACCCCCUUUCUCCUGCCCAAAGAUGCUCUGUGUCUUCACCUUCUGGGUUAGUGACCAAGGGCUACUACCAUAGCAACCAGGGAUACUCCUCCCCCCAUCUCUCUCUUCCUUCUCUCCCUUUCCUGAGUCUUGAGUAAGCUUGUCCCAUGUUAAUCCUUUCUCUCCCUCCCCUUUACCCUCCCUUCUUCUCUCCCCUUCUUACCCCUCUUCCUUCCCACCCCACUUAUAGCAAUGUUACCCCCAUCAAGGUUCUGGCCCUGCCCAUCUUCCCAACUCCCCUUUCCUGGGGAUCUCUAGGCCAUUUCUGCUCCAUGGUGGGCACAGGACACAUUUACACAUUCACUCUCACAAGUGAGGGAAGGAAAGCCAGUGUUGUAACUCCAGGACUCCUGGUUCCAACCUCCUCUCAGCCUCCUGUUACCUCCUUCCAUGAGCAGGACCAGCUCCUUGCUGAUCCUUGAGACCCAAGAGCUGCUGAGACUUAUGAUGUCACCCCCGGUAGUGGAGGUGGCACCAUCUGUCCUUAGCUGGUGUACUGGCUGGUUUUGUGUGUCAACUUGACACAGGCUACAGUUACCACAGAGAAAGGAGCUUCAGUUGAGGAAAUGCCUCCAUGAGAUCCAGCUGUGGGACAUUUUCUCAAUUAGUGAUCAAGGGAGGAGGGCCCAUGGUGGGUGGUGCCACCCCUGGGCUGGUAGUCUUGGGUUCUAUAAGAAAGCAAGCUGAGCAAGGCAGGGGAAGCAAGCCAGUAAGAAACAUCCCUCCAUGGCCUCUGCAUCAGCUCCUGCUUCCUGACCUGCUUGAGUUGCAGUCCUGACUUCCUUGGUGAUGAACAGCAGUGUGGAAGUGUAAGCUGAAUAAACCCUUUCCUCCCCAACUUGCUUUUUGGUCGUGAUGUUUGUGCAGGAAUUGAAACCCUGACUAAGAGAUGGGAUUGAGAGCUGAGCCUGCAGGAGAGGGGCCAUCUCCUCAGACACCAGGCUUGUCAUAUCUCCCUAACUUCUUUAAAAAUCUAGAAGAUGAUGUGCCAUGCCUCCAGCCAUAUCCUGGAGUUGGCUGUUUCCACCCAGACCUACCUGGACUAUAGCUGGUGUUUGGAAAUUGUCAUCCAAAACAACUACUCCUGCCCCAUGAAAGGCUGAGUCUCCGGUAAGGGAGGAGAGUCAGGAGGGCUGGCCAGGUCUCCUGAAUGCAUUCUCAUUGACCUUAACAACCAGGGGUAGCCUGAUGGAUGAACGGACAUAAAAGAGAAAGCAAGUGCACCCUACAAUAGGCUAAAGACCAAAGACACCCCUUCCUUCUUCCAUCAGCCUUUCUGUGAAGUCAUGAGGUCAAGUCCACGUACCCAUGGCGAUAGCCUGGUUUUCUAGAAGGCUCUCAGACCCAAACCUCAUCUUGGACCCCACAAUAACACAUAUUUUCUCUUUUCUGGCAGUGACCUGUUCUGUGCAUCCCCCUAAGUACGUCUCCAUGACGACACACUCUUGGAAAUCAAAACUGCAUCAGAGGUAUUCCGAGGUGGGUGCACUGGAAAGCCUCCACUAGAGUGCCUGCUUCCCGGGCAGCUUGGGCUUGGCAGCUGGGCAGGAAAUUGCACCAUCUGCCCCACUAAGUGCUUGGCAGCACACAGUGGGAGGACAGGGUUGUGUGUGACCCAGAUCACCUUAAAUGGGACUUUAGGAACCCAUCCAUCGCCUCAUCUCUAAGGACAAUAGGGCCAGGGGGGGGGGCGGAGUUGGCCCUCGCACCUGGCCAGGGCUGGCUGAGUGAUUCUAAUGCUCUCUCAGCUGGGGUUUUCCCCAGGGCUCUUACAGCUGCCUGGAGAAACCAGUAGUACCCCACCCACGGGAACUGGUUUUCCUUCAUACAUAGGGUGGAGGCCAAUGUAGCUGGAGGCCCAGUCGAAAGCAGAAACUGAACAGGCUGUACCCAAGAAUGCAAAUGUCCCCAUCCACAGAAAAGGGAAGGGGCACCAUCCUCCACUGAAACUGGCAGCUGGCUGUGAGCACAGCUGAGCAAAAGUUCUUCCCCCAUCCCCCAGUGUCAACUCUGUCCCACUGUGGGGAGUGGCAGUAGUCAGGGAGGCAUCUCUGGUUAAUGGUGCCACUGCUGCUCUGCCUUUGUCAUGGACAUCCUGUCACAGGGACCCAGUUUGUUACCCCCCAAUUCUACCAGAGUGCUGCCAUACCUUCAUGGUCAGCACACUGUGCCCAACCGCCUUGGUCUCUCUCCUGGAUAUGCUAGAAGCUCGGGUCCUGCCCAAGGCAGGGCUGGGGAGGAGGAGCCCAGCCCCACGGAGGAGCACUGAGCUCUGCAGGUAGCUGUGUGCUUACCCAGGAUAACAAGAGGCCCAGGGUGAAGCCCUCCCCUGAAGGUGGGAGCCUGGCCAAUGAGAGAAGUCUAGUCACAACAGCCUCUCCGGGGGACUGUCUACCUGGAAGGCCAUUCCCACCAACACACACAUAGUCAGGCUGGCACUUAGCAGGAAGUAUCUCAAUUCUCAGGGCUUCCUGCUAUAAAGUAACUCUAGUCCUUGGAGUUAAGCUCAUGGGUUACCAACAAAGACUCAGCAGGAAGCUUCUGAUAGGACCAUGUCAUGGAAAGGUCCAGAAGGAAGGUUCGACUUGGCAGCUCACAACUGGGGCCACUGUGGGCCACUUAGAGACCAGUAGGUCAGGCUGAAACACCUUUUAGUUCUUUUCUGCCUAUAUUUCCUGCAGGCAGCAGAAGGAAUGGCUCCCAAGCACAGCACAUGGGUCUGUGGCCAGAAGGUCUAAGCUAUGACCUUAGGUAUCUCUUUUCUCAAUAGAUUACCAUCGUAAGGAUGGAGAGAUGGCUUGAUUGAAAGCAUCUGCCACCCAAGCUCACAGGCUGCCUGCCUAGCCUUAUCAGCAAGCUCUAGGUUCAACAGGAGAUUCUAUCUCUAACAGUAAGGCUUUGAUGGAGGAAGCCUCCAGUGUUGACCCCUGUCCUCCGCAUGCAUGCUCAUACAUAGGUCACAAACACACACAACUUAUCAUUUUAAUAAUUUCUUUUCAUUUUAUGUGCAUUGGUGUUUUGUCUGCAUGUAUGUCUGUGUGAGGUUGUUGGAUCCUCUGGAACCGGAGCUUCAGACAGUUGUGAGCUGCAGUGCAGGUUCUGGGAAUUGAACCCAGGUCCUCUGGAAGAACAUCCAGUGCUCUUAGCCCCUCAGCAAUCUCUCCAGGCCCAUUUGAAUCGUUUCUUAGGUGUGGUACUGAACGUGCUCCCUAUUGGGCAGUGGUCCCUGCCAUCAACUUCUCAUUGGUCCACACUAACGCUUAAUCUAACUAAACCAUAUUCCCUCAGGUCCCCUCCAUCCUUUGUACCCACCGUUCUGUGUUCUGUCUACAAAUCUGACUCUAGAGACUUUGAGACAAGGCCUCAUGUACCCCAGACUGUCCAACGCUGUAUAGGUGAAGUUGACCUUGAACUCCUGACCCUCCUGUGACCUCACUGGUGCUGGGGUAAGAGACUUACAGGACCAUGCUGGCUUCUAUAUAGACUAGACCAUUUCCAACAUCUUUCACUCAAGGUUUCCUCCUGUGAUGUCAGGUUUUAAGAUUCCCCGCCUUUUUAGGAACAGGCAGUAUUAGGUUGCACGUAUCUUCUCACCUGGUGAUGGGUACUGUUAAGUGCUUCUGGUUUUGUGUGACUCCCGUGAAUAGCUCAGCAGUAAACAUUAUUAUGUGCACAGAUACAUUGUUAAGUUCUGCUCUCAAUUCUUUUGGGAAGAAGUGAAAUUGCUAAGUCAAACGGGACUGUAUUUAACUAAAUGAGGAAUUGCCACUCUUAAAUUUUGUUUACGGUUUGGGGUUUCUCUGGAUGUUUCCCUAAUAUUUUGGGGAAUAUAUUUCCCCAAUUUUUGAAAACAAAAAAACAAAAAACUC
rnacentral:lncRNA from 1 species